GUACAUCAGCAGCCGUACCAGGCGUACCUGCUGCUGGUAAAACAGGUAC
rnacentral:sRNA from 1 species